AGUGGGGGCCUGGUCAGUGGAGACCUAGGCCAUCAGUGGGUCCUGGAUAGUGAGGCCUGGUCAUUGGGGUCCUGGCCAGAGCGCCCAAAGAACUCGUGUCCCGCGCUCCUGAACGCCAUCAGCCGCCGCACCUCCAUCUUCCCUCCUCCCACGAGUCUCCUGCUCCCCGUGACUCUGGCCUCCUCGCAGUGUUGCUGGGCCACGUCAGGAAGUGCUGGAGGACGUGGCAUUGCACCAACACCAGGCGGCCAGCCGUGUGGCUCAUCCCGCAAAUCAGGCUCUUCCUGUGCAUGGAGAUGGAGUCCCUCUGGAGGCAGCCCGUGGCCCUGUUCUCGGGCAGGUGGAGCAUGGAGACGACUGGGAACUUCACUAGACACGCAUCCAGCCGGUUCAAGGGCUUGUCGCGCCGUGCACCAGCUUGCAGGAGAAAGCCCAACGCCUCGCCAAGCACGAAGGCCUCCCUUCCCGACUUGAUGAAGGCAGAGUAGCGGUUGAGGUUGCGGCUCACAGUGACCGAGCUCCUGCCCACGUGGGGACCCAGGGAGCCGUCGAGCUCCAGCCCAGGCUUGGACCUGAAGAAGCUGGCAACCCGCGAACGCCAACAGGCACAGUCGAAAAAAGCAAAAGAAAAAUCCCAAACAAAAUCCUGUUCUCCCUAGCCAAAGGACCAGGAGAGGGGGCAGCCCAGCAAGACAAAACACAUUUACACAAUUCUGGCUAACCUCAGCCAGUCCUUGGCCGUGAGUUCGUUUUUCUGCCACCUCACUUUGGGGCUGGGCUGGUUCUCCACCCUCGCAGGGUGCGUUUCUCAAUCCAGACGCUGGGGGGCGCUAGUACCUCGCGAGCUCCGCGAGGAUCAUUCCCGGGACGCCGCGGAGUCACCUCCCCUCCUAGGGACCCAGAGCUUCCCAGGGCCGCGCCUGUAGGUUUUCCAGAGGUCCCCGAAAACGUUAAAGACCUGGAAGGAAAAAAAAACUGUAAAACCACACACUUUGAUAUUUGACAACGUAAAAGCAAGGCUGCAAAAUCAAAAUCAAUGAACGCUUGAAGGAAAUGUCUACUUAGCUAGACAUAGUGCCACCUGGAUUCACUGUUGGCUCCAGAAUCCCCCCCACGGUGUCAUCACGUUGGAAAGUUUUUGUGGGUUAGAUGUUCUCUGUUGGCAAGAAUGCCUGUACAUGCCCAAGAAGCAUAUGAGUUUAAUGGGACCCCAAUAACUUCAAAAGCAAAAAGAUAA
rnacentral:lncRNA from 1 species